UGCGGGGUAGGAGGAGGAUCAGUCUCCGUUCAGUCUGCUCCAGCUACCCAUUAUGUUCCUUUCCAACCCCCUCCUGUCCUAGAAGAAUGCUACAGAAUUUGAGUGGACCAAGGCGGCUUAAAAUAGAGGAAAAAACAAACAAAAAAACAACCAAAACCCUGAAAAAGGUCUCAGAAAUUUCCAGGCCUGUGGAUUUUUGUUGUUAUUUCUUGGAGACAGGGUCAAAGGUCUCUUAGACUGGCCUUAAAAAUAGUUGAGGAUGACCUUGAACUCCAGAUCCUCUUGCCUCACUUCCAGAGAAAUGAAAUAACAGGUAUGCAUGCACCAUCAUGCCUGGUGUGUACAGUGCUGAGGAUGGAACCCAGGGCUGGUCAUGUAAGGCAUUCGCUCGACUAACACAACCACAGCCUCAGGCCACACCUAACCUUUUAUUACAACUCGAGACAACGGAACCCACUCUGUAGACCAGGCUAGCCUCGAACUACAGAGAGUCACCUGCCUCUGCUGGGAUUAAAGGUCCCAGCUGAGGACGCACUGCUUACCUUCUCCAAAAUCAAGUGGCCGCAGACACAGCACUUCUCAGCCGCCUCCUGAAACCCUGAAAACUGGAGAAGGGACGAAAG